rnacentral:tRNA from 1 species
GACCUCGUGCGCAAAGGUAGCCGCGUCUGACUCCAGAUCAGAAGGUUGGCGGGUUCAAAUCAGUCGGGGUCA